rnacentral:misc_RNA from 1 species
UGGAAGUAAAAGUCGUAACAAGGUUUCCGUAGGUGAACCUGCGGAAGGAUCAUUACUGUGAUUUACUACUACACUGCGUGAGCGGAACGAAAACAACAACACCUAAAAUGUGGAAUAUAGCAUAUAGUCGACAAGAGAAAUCUACGAAAAACAAACAAAACUUUCAACAACGGAUCUCUUGGUUCUCGCAUCGAUGAAGAGCGCAGCGAAAUGCGAUACCUAGUGUGAAUUGCAGCCAUCGUGAAUCAUCGAGUUCUUGAACGCACAUUGCGCCCCUCGGCAUUCCGGGGGGCAUGCCUGUUUGAGCGUCGUUUCCAUCUUGCGCGUGCGCAGAGUUGGGGGAGCGGAGCGGACGACGUGUAAAGAGCGUCGGAGCUGCGACUCGCCUGAAAGGGAGCGAAGCUGGCCGAGCGAACUAGACUUUUUUUCAGGGACGCUUGGCGGCCGAGAGCGAGUGUUGCGAGACAACAAAAAGCUCGACCUCAAAUCAGGUAGGAAUACCCGCUGAACUUAAGCAUAUCAAUAAGCGGAGGA